rnacentral:rRNA from 1 species
UACAGAGGGGGCGAGCGUUGUUCGGAAUUACUGGGCGUAAAGGGCGCGUAGGCGGCCAACUAAGUCAGACGUGAAAUCCCUCGGCUCAACCGGGGAACUGCGUCUGAUACUGGAUGGCUUGAAUUCGGGAGAGGGAUGCGGAAUUCCAAGGUGUAGCGGUGAAAUGCGUAGAUAUCUGGAGGAACACCGGUGGCGAAGGCGGCAUCCUGGACCGAGAUUGACGCGUGAUGCGCGAAAGCCAGGGGAGCAAACGGG